rnacentral:rRNA from 1 species
UUUCUCCUGGUCCAAUUAGAGGAAGUAAAAGUCGUAACAAGGUUUCGGUCGUAGGUGACCUGCGGAGGACAUUAACGAGUUUUGAAAUGGGUUGUAGCUGGCCUUCCGAGGCAUGUGCACACCCUGCUCAUCCACUUUACACCUGUGCACUUACUGUAGGUUGGCGUGGGCUUCGGACCUCCGGGUUCGAGGCAUUCUGCCGGCCUAUGUACAAUACAAACUCCGAAGUAACAGAAUGUAAACGCGUCUAACGCAUCUUAAUACAACUUUCAGCAACGGAUCUCUUGGCUCUCGCAUCGAUGAAGAACGCAGCGAAAUGCGAUAAGUAAUGUGAAUUGCAGAAUUCAGUGAAUCAUCGAAUCUUUGAACGCACCUUGCGCUCCUUGGUAUUCCGAGGAGCAUGCCUGUUUGAGUGUCAUGGAAUUCUCAACCCAUAGAUCCUUGUGGUCUACGGGCUUGGAUUUGGAGGCUUGCCGGCCCUUACACGGGGUCGGCUCCUCUUGAAUGCAUUAGCUUGAUUCCGUGCGAAUCGGCUCUCAGUGUGAUAAUUGUCUACGCUGUGGCCGUGAAGCGUUUGGCGAGCUUCUAACCGUCCGUUAGGACAACUUCUUGACAUCUGACCUCAAAUCAGGUAGGACUACCCGCUGAACUUAAGCAUAUAUAAAACGGGGGAGAGAAAAA